rnacentral:rRNA from 1 species
GACGAACGCUGGCGGCGUGCCUAAUACAUGCAAGUAGAACGCUGAAGGAGGAGCUUGCUUCUCUGGAUGAGUUGCGAACGGGUGAGUAACGCGUAGGUAACCUGCCUGGUAGCGGGGGAUAACUAUUGGAAACGAUAGCUAAUACCGCAUAAGAGUAGAUGUUGCAUGACAUUUGCUUAAAAGGUGCAAUUGCAUCACUACCAGAUGGACCUGCGUUGUAUUAGCUAGUUGGUGGGGUAACGGCUCACCAAGGCGACGAUACAUAGCCGACCUGAGAGGGUGAUCGGCCAAACUGGGACUGAGACACGGCCCAGACUCCUACGGGAGGCAGCAGUAGGGAAUCUUCGGCAAUGGACGGAAGUCUGACCGAGCAACGCCGCGUGAGUGAAGAAGGUUUUCGGAUCGUAAAGCUCUGUUGUAAGAGAAGAACGAGUGUGAGAGUGGAAAGUUCACACUGUGACGGUAUCUUACCAGAAAGGGACGGCUAACUACGUG